GAGAUAUUUGGCCUCCUCAAGUGCAUUCUGGUUUCAACAAGCUGGUUGAGAUGGCCCUGAGAGGAAUGGAGGGAAAAUCAGAGGCUGCUCAUUUUAAUUCGAAAAAAGAAGAAAGAUCAACUAUUUCUAUAGUUCUUCGUACAAGAAUCAACUGAAAUUAAAUAAUCUUAUGUGAGUGCUGGAUCUGCUGCAGCCAUCUUGCUACCUACCUGAGAAAGAAACCAGCAUUGAAGGGAGGUGCAAAGAACCUGGAUCCUGAAUCAACCAAGCCUGAAUCCUGUCUAACCUCUGUACACACUGUUUAUGACCUAAUUUAUUCCCUCAUGUUUAUGCCAACAUCUUUUGAGGUUUCUGUUACUUGCAACAAAAAAGCGAUCCUUCUUUGCUAGGGCAUAACAUGGGUGACUUUUACUCCAGUUCACAAGAAGCUCCUCAUUUCCAUCUGAGACUUUGUCAGCCUGGUAUUCACUAUCCAUAUUUCUAUUAGCAUUUUGGUCAAAAUCAUUUAACCAGUCUCUUAAGAAGUUCCAAACUUUCCUUAUCUUCCUGUCUUCUUCUGAGCCCUCCAAAGUCUUCUAACCUCUGCCCAUUACUCAGUUCUACAGUCACUUCCACAUCUUCAAGUAUCUUUAUAGCAACAUCUCACACCUCACUCCUCAGUACCAGUUUUCUGUGUUAGUCCAUUCUUGCAUUGCUGUGAAGAAACACCUGAGGCUGGGCAAUUUAUAAAGAAAAGAGGUUUAAUUGGCUUAUAGUUCUGCAGGCUGAACAGGAAGCUUGGUGCCAGUAUCUGCUUGGCUUCUAGUGAGGCCUCAGGGAGCUUUUACUCAUAGCGGAAGGCAAAGCAGAAGCAGGCAUGUCACAUGAUGAGAGAGGGGGCAAGAGAGAGGGGGAGGCACCACGCUCCUUCAAAAAACCAGGUCUUGUAUGGGCUCAUUAUCAAAGUGAGGCCACCAAGCCAUUCAUUAGGGAUCUGCCACCACGACCCAAACACCUCCCACUAGUCCCCACCUCCAACAUUGGGAAUCACAUUUCAACAUAAGAUUUGGAGGUAACAAAUAGCCAACCCAUAUCACUCAUUCUUAAACAGAUUUUAAAAUGUAUAAAGCAUUUUUGCACCCAUCAUCUUUAACAACCUUUACAACAUUGUAAAGAAAAAUUUGAGCAAGUAUUUUUAUCAUUCCCAAGUUAUACAUGGGGAAACUGGAGUUUCAAGAUGGUAAGAUGGUAAGUGACCUGUACACGGUCUUACAUCUACUCCUUUCUACAACUUACUCCCAGUGUCAAAUCUAGCUCCUCUGGUUACAAAUACCAAGCUGUGUUCUCAGCUGUGAAGCCUGAUAUUUCAUGAAAGCUUUUGCAUUUCAUCUACUGCCUAUAUGCUCCCCCAAUUUAUACACCACUCUUAGAUAACAAGGAUGAGAUUCUAUUAAGAAAUAAAGCACCCAAAUAGAAACAUGAAGUACAAAUGAUUUUCUAAGUAUUUCUGGUAAGCAAUUAUGCUUCAAAAGGCUGCUUUAAUGAACAUUGGAGUGUUCAACAGUCAACUUGCUUUCUGUAAAUCAAAUAUGGAAGGAGAAAUGUCAUAAAAUUUUCAAAUAGACAAAAAAGUUCAACUUAGAGAAGGAUUAUUUUCCUUUAUUUAGGCUCACCUUGGGCUUACAUUUAUGCAUUGCCCUGUAGUGCUUUAUUUGGUUUUAUAUUAAUUUUAGAAUUUUAUAGAGUAGUAUAUGCUUGAUAUGCACAAUAUGGAAAACAAAGAAAACAACAAAGUUUUAUGUUUUGUUUUUUUAAUGCUUAUAAUAUUAUUUUAAAAGACAUGAGUAAAUGAAAGCACAGAACAGGUUCUUGGAUAGAAAGAAUUAUUAGGAAGUCAAUUCUCCCUAAAUUAACACAUAAAUGUAAUAUAAGUCCCAUAGGAACCACAAUAGGAUUUGCUUUUGUCAAAAACAAUUAUAAAGUUUAUAUCAGUCAGGAUUAAGUUGAGUUCAGAGUAAUAGAACAGUCAAAAUAACAGUGGCAAAAGUAAAAUCAAAGACUGUUUCUCUCUUGAGUAAGCAUGGCCCAGAGGUCAGGGGUACGGCCCUAGAAGGCCCUCAUGGUACCAGAAAACCCAUCUCCUUCAUCUUGUUCCUCUGUCCACCUUGAGGACAAAAUAGCUGCUAAGCUCCAAAUAUGUUUACAGGAGGAAAAGGGAAGAGGUGGGAAACAGGGUACACUCCUUUCCAUAAACAGCUUUUCCCAAAAAUUGAGCACACCACUUCCACUUACGGUCCACUGGGGAAGUCAUGAUCAUAUGGCCACACUUAACUUCAAGAGAGGUUGGGAAAAGCAGUUUUUGUUGUUGGCAUUCAGAUGCCCACCUAAAAAUUGAGGGUUCUAUUAGUAUAAAAAAAAGGUGUCCAGGCACGGUGGCCUACACCUAUAAUCUCAGCACUUUGGGAGGCAGAGAUGGGCGGAUCAAUUGAGGUCAGGAGUUCGAGACCAGCCUGGCCAACAUGGUGAAGCCCCAUCUCCACUAAAAAUACAAAAAUUAGCUGGGUGUGGUGGCAUGUGCCUGUAGUCCCUGCUACUAGGGAGGCCGAGGCAGGAGAGUCACUUGAACCCAGGAGACGAAGAUUGCACUGCACUCCAGCCUGGUGACAGAGGGAGACUCCAUCUCAAAAAAAAAAAAAAAGAAAAGAAGGUUGAAGAUCAUCCGCUUUUACAGACGAAGAAAUUGAGGCAUGCAGCGAAGUAAUAGAACUAGGAUUCAAACUCAAGUGUGUUGCAUCCCAGAGUUACACUGUCCACAAAGAAGUCUCUUUCACUGGAGAAAAAAGGACCUAGAAAAGCAGGCAACUGGGUAGUGUCCUUUAUCUGAGAACUCCAUCCAAAAAGAACCAAGCACACAGAAGUAACAACAUUCUUGCCAUCAGCAGGAAGAAUUAGGGCACUUGGCUCUGGCUUAAUGUUAAGGCUGAGGGGGUCGGCCCAGGCAAGUCCUGGGAUCUAAGAAAGAGCUUCUAAUUACUUACCUCUCCUGGCCUCCAUCCAAAAAUUCCUCUUUCUUAAAUAUCUCCACCUUAAAUAUUUACAGGUUAGGAAUGCCUUAUGCUCUUGAAAGUAUUCAAACAUCCAUGAACCAAUUACUGUGAUCAUAAGUGUAUGAUCUUCUGAAUGGGAGAGACUAAUGGGUCGAACGCCUACUUCUAGAUCGGGAGUUGGUCAACCACACUCAAAAAAACUGAAAGCUGUUUCCAGAAGAACAGAAGAGCAGAGAAAGAAGAGACAGAUGUUGGAUGGGCAAAAGCAGCAAAUGUCUACCACACUGACUUAUGGCUAAGAUGUAGAAAAAUCUCACUCCUCCUAGCCUGUGAGAAGAUGGCCCAGGCCUAAAGACAGAAAUAAAAUGAAUAGGAACAACAAACUUCUUCAUUUGCUUCCAGUAGAAGAUAAUUGAUAAUUCCAUGCUUCCUUUCUUUUUUGACCACUUUGAACAAAAAUGAUCCCAUUUAUAUUUUUUUCUCAAACAAUUGUGCAGAUUCUGGGCUAACAGCUUGGGAGUAGAACUUGUUUAGAACUGCUUCAUUUAUUCUCAGAUUUGGAAUGUGUCAUUAAAAAAAUAAAAAACAAAAUAGAAGUGGUGCCUUCAGUCUGGGGAUAGUAGGCAUUUGCCAUUUUUUGACCAUAUUCUGUUUUCCACAGCUCUCCACCUCCAUCUUACCCACUGUGGGCUAAAGCUGGGUGCAAAGUCUUGGCUCAGCCAUUAACACACUCCAGCUGGGUUGCUGGAGCGGGCUCAGGGGAAAAGUCAUGCUGUGGUUGAUGGGCAGCCAUAUCCAGUUCACAGAGCAGCACCAGCAGAUCUGGCAUUGGCAGCACUGUCCUUAGAUUCAGGCAAGAGAGAGACCCCAAAUUAGGGAGGCCUGCCUGGCCCUCCUGCCUGAGUUCCUCCCCAUGGAGCCAGGAGUCUACAAGUCCAACAGGACGUGCCUACUCAGAGCCUGAACUUCAUGACCACUUCUUGACUACACUUUUGGUAACCAAGUACUGUGAAUUCCCUGCGCAGAUGAGCCUUGGGAUCACUUCCAGGACCUAUGUAAUCUUCUUCCCUGUGUUUAUCCCCCUGGGAGCAGACCAUUCACACCUCUAGACCCAAAGGGAGGUCAAGAGGUGACCUCUGCAGGAGAUGUAGAUGAUGCUUCUACAUUCAAGUUGAAGUAGCAAGAAAGAGGAUGUGCUCGGGGCUAGGGAGCAGGGCAAGGGGCUGGAUUUAUCCUUAGUAUUCACUAAGGAGUCAAAAAUUCUCUGUUUGAACUUGAUCUUUCAGCUUAUUAUGAAAGUAUAUUCAGCAAAGAGGAUAUGACAUUUGAUUUAACAGAUUGUUCAUCUGAUGUACAAUUUAUUUGUAACUUUUAAAUAUUUAAACACAUGAUAUUGUGCCUCCAUUGUGCUCUUGCCACAGACCCUGUAAUUGUUGGGGAGGGAGGCUUGGCCUUUGAUGCAGAGACACGACAAACAGCUGGGUUCUCAGCAUAUCAUUUCUGGGGCAUGGUUUUGCUAACAUUCUCUACCUGCCUAGUAUCACUGCUACCUACUUUCUAAGCUUCAUUCUUUCACCUUGCCAGAAUUGCCUUUUGACAAUGUUCUAUUUUGCUUAAAUCAAUCAGAGUUGAUUUCUCUUAGCAUGCAGCUAAGUAUAUACCACAUGCAAAAAAAACAAAAACAGAAAACACUUCAAUGGUCUGUGAAUUAGCUGAAUGGCAUUAAACUAUGUAAUGUAAACCCUUCUCUUCUGCUAACUGCCUCUAGCUAGGCUCCUUUAAAAGACUAUUCUCAAUAAAUGAAAAAUCUAGCCUUUCUAGUACUCACGUGAUUCAUCGAGAGUGAACUGUUCUCUAUAAUCACCAUGGCCAGAAGCCUCUAGGGAUUGUAACCUGCACAGCUGUGGGUCUGGGAAAUGUUAUUGUUUCCAGCCUAGGCCUGAAGCCUGAGUCACCAUUGGGACUGUCAUGCAAAGGAUCACUCUCUCCAAUCACAGGUCCAGGCAUCUCAUCUCUGGGGAUGUCUCAAAUGUCAAAAUUUCGGGAGAUUUAGAUAGAGAAGAAAAGCCAGUUUAUAAGAGCGUAUCAUGCUUUGGCAGGGACGCCUGCAACCCAGAUUUCAACUAAGGUAUUAAGCCUUUCCCCACCUUGUGCCAUGAUCUCAAAUACUUUAGAGAUCUCAGCCUCAUGGCAUUAUAAACUAUUCUAGAAUUAUAAAUUACACACACCCCCCCACAUCAUAUACACACAAAGACACAUACUUUUAUUUUAUCCAGAGGGAAGGCAAAGACCAUCAAGAUAGUCACUUACAUGUCCAUUGUGCUUAUUAAUUAGUAGUAAAAUUGUAGAUUAUGUUUUUCUUUCUACUUAUUAAUGUUUCCCACUUUUGAACAAUAAACAGGUUUUAAUUGUAUGAUUAGAAUUCAGUAUGAAAAAGAGAAAAAGGAUACUGGGAAACAAGUUGAAAUCCUAAUACUGAGAGUUUAAGAUUUAUUUAUAAGUACUAGAUUAAAGCUCAUGAGUCUCCACCACUGAUAGAACACAGCCAAAAUCUUAUUCGUUUCAUUUGUUGGGAACUUCAGAAUUAUAACACACUCAAAGUUGCCCAGGAAUCACCCCUACCCCCGCCAAAUUAUGUGUUAAUAUUCCCCUCAAGAGAUACGUAAUAUGCUUGUGUCUAUUUUUGUUUCAGUUUUGUUGGCUUGAGUGUCUUUCCAAUUGUUGCAUGAGUGUCUUUUCAUUCUGUGGAUUUUAAUGAAGAUUCUUGGAACCACUGUAAACACCUUCAUCAGUAGAUCUCUCAAUAGAGAAACCUUCAUGCCAGUUCUUACAUAAAAGUUGCAAGCCAACUUAAAAUUUGGGCUUCAUUUUUCCUUCCAUUCAAACUUUAGGGACAUCCUCACAUAGCUCUCAAAGACAGCUAUUGUUUAUGUUUUUCUCUCCUUAUUUCGAAGAAGUUGUAAUCAUUUGACCAAAGUUAGUAUAUUUCUGAUGCAAAUUUAUAAUUUUAUAAACGCUUAACCUAAAUUUGCCUAAUUGUAUGCAGCAGUAAAAAGUCAGGAUCUUGGCCGGGCUCGCACCUGUAAUCCCAGCACUUUGGGAGGCUGAGGCAGGUGGAUCACUUGAGGUUAGGAGCUGAAAACCAGCCUGGCCAACAUGGCAAAAUUCUGUCUCUACUAAAAAUGAAAAACAAUUAGCCACGCAUGGUGGAAGGCACCUAUAAGCCCAGCUACUAGGGUGGCUGAGACAUGAGAAUUGCUUGAACCCGGUGCGGGGGUGAGGCAGGAGGAGGGGUGCGGAGGUUGCAGUGAGCCGAAAUGGCUCCACUGCCCUCCAGCCUGGGUGACAGAGUGAGAAUCCAUCUCAAAAAAAGAAAAGAAAAGAAAAGAAAAAAGGCAGGAUCCCAAAUAAACUGAUAUUCUGUAAGAAAGGAAAAUCUGAAAUCAGUCGCUAAUAUCGUGAAGCCUGUAGAGCUCACCAUCUGGCACUCCUUGGAGGGAAGAUGAAGAGUUAAGAAUGAAUUUUUUGCAGAGGGUAAACUCUACAAUACUGGGCAUAAAACAAAGCAAAUCAUUGUUCCCAGUUUCCUUUAAGCAGCAAGAGAUAGAUGUAGCAGGUGUGGGAAUAUGCUGGUUAAGAACAUGCCUUUGGCAGCAAACGCACCUGGAAGCAAAUCCCAAUUCCACCAUAUAUUAGCCUCAUUAGACCUUGAAGAAACUACUUAAUCUCUCUAUAUCCUGAUUUUCUCAUUUAUAAGAUGGGAAUUGUAAUAGUACCUUUUCUUAGCUCUAUUUUUUGUUAUUUGCUCUUCAAUUUUUGGUUUCUCUGUUUGGUUUUAGAGGAUUAACUAAGAUAUUGUAUUGUACCUUGCACCAUGUCUGGAACAUAGUUCUCAAUAAAUGUUGG
rnacentral:tRNA from 10 species